rnacentral:rRNA from 1 species
AUUGAACGCUGGCGGCAGGCCUAACACAUGCAAGUCUAACGAGUGGCGGACGGGUGAGUACUGUCUGGGAACCUGCCUGAUGGAGGGGGAUAACUACUGGAAACGGUAGCUAAUACCGCUUACCAUCGUAUCUGCCCAGAUGGGAUUAGCUAGUAGGUGGGGUAAAGGCUCACCUAUGCGACGAUCCAUAGCUGGUCUGAUAGGAUGACCAGCCACACUGGAACUGAGACACGGUCCAGACUCCUACGGGAGGCAGCAGUGGGGAAUAUUGCACAAUGGGCGCAAGUCUGAUGCAGCCAUGCCGCGUGUAUGAAGAAGGCGUUCGGGUUGUAAAGUACUUUCAGCGGGGAGGCGUUAACCGCAGAAGAAGCACCGGCUAACUCCGUGCCAGCAGCCGCGGUAAUUC